CAGAAGUUAAGGCCUGGCUUCUGCUCCCGUCGCGUCCCGGCGCGUCCGGGUUCAAAUCCGCCUGCCGACCUCUCGGGGUGUUUGAGAGGUGAUGAAAUGGGAGGUGGCCCCCCAUCUUGUGGACGAUGUAGGACGUGAUAAAAUCAACUCGCGAGCUGACCAGGAAUUAAGUUGACGCGCCGUUGAUCCGCUAGAUUUGGUUGGAUGCUGGUGGUGAGUUGCCAAACUCAAAGAGUACACUCUGAAGUCGGAUGGGGUGAAUGGCUUAGGGUGCCCCUCUAGCAGGGGAGAGCAGGGAAUUGCCUCGGGAAGGAGGCCACUGGUGAAGCUUAACCACCCUGUAACAACAUCAACUCCCCAUAAUCAAUCCCCUCGCGUUGCUCGAAACCCUUGGCAACUAAACGCGCCUUAAAACGCUCCACGCUGCCGUCAUCGCUGUACUUAACCUUAUAUACCCAACGACACGGCAACAAACGAGUACCAGGAGGUGGCUUCUUCAACUCCCAAGUACUAUUAGCCAUCUGGGCGGCGAUCUCCUCGUCCAUCGCACGCCGCCAGUCGUCUGCAUGUGCACUCGCAAUGGCUUCCGCAAAAGAAUUCGGUUCGGGAAUAUCAGUAGAGAAAGCAGCGUUAACGCGACCAGUAACAGUGCGACCAGGUUCAUUUCGCCACCAUUCGCCAGGGCGUUUACGCUCUCUAACUGGGUACCUAGUUCCCGCCAUUUCCACAUCAGGCUGAUUGAUUCCUUGCCCGUUCGCACUGCUGGAAGGUCCAGCCCCAGCCGGCGCCCCCUCGCCACCCAAAUGCGGCGAUCCCUCGCCGACGGUGCUACCUGGUGUCCCUUCGCCAGCCCUAGGCAGCGAUCCCUCACCAGAUAAACUAGUGCGAAACUCCCCUCUUCGUGGGCAUCGACUUAUAUCGGAGUCCCCGGCAUUACGCCGCCGCCGGACAUUAAGAUUCAUCGAAACGAACGUUAGAAACUAUGGCAAUAAUGCCGUCCACGUAUAGCACACGAUAUUGUCUUCCGUUCCCGUAUCCAACAAGUAUUCCAGGCCUGCUCACCGGGUCGAACUUGUCGCGCUUGACGUCGGGUACGUGGACGUAGGCAACGCAUCCUAAGACUCGCAUGUGACUGACGUUCGGACGAACAUUAAAGAAAGCUUCGUACGGAGUGACGGUUGACCCAGCAGUUGGCGACACAUUCCUAAGAUAGUUGGCUGUCGCUAACGCCUCUGCCCAUAAUGAUUUAGGCAGUCCAGAUUCAACGAGCAUAGCCCUAGUCUUGUCCAAAAGAGUGCGAUUUAAACGUUCCGCAGCUCCGUUCUGCUCAGGGGUGUAGCCUACCGUGUACAAUACCCCUGGAAGCGAAAUAGCCCUUCGUGCGAGUAUUAACGAACUCCCCGCCACGAUCUGUACGCACCUCCUUAACCUGCCUGCCAGUAGCGCGCUCCAGUUCCGCUAUCAUUACCACCAUCUUCUGGUAGACCUCCUCCUUGGUCGCUGUAAACGCAACAGCUGAAAGACCAGUAUGAUCGUCAAGCAGAGUUGUCACGUAACGCGAACCACUAGGCGAAGGUUCAGGCAUAGGUCCACACACAUCCAUGUGAAUGAGUGCGAGAGGCUGCGCUGCCUUAUGCCCAGUUAGCGGAAAAGGACCACGUGUAUGCUUAGCAAAGACGCAAGUCUCACACACACACGCGCUGGCUGAUUGUAUGCUGUGUCGGUCAACAUCGAAUCCAGCUACCAUAUCAUGACGCAGCAGCGCCUCAAGGUUGCUGUAUCCUAAGUGGCCAUACCUUCGGUGCCAAAGUGCUGCACGUUCAGCUCCGAUACCAACGGCAGCACACACUGCAUCACCACCAGAAGGUAUCCUGUUGUCUUAACGCUGCGUCCACUUCAGAGCGCCAGUACCUCCACUGCUGUAGUAGACGGGAUACAAGUCCCCAUCCCGCUUUCCAGUCAGCACCAACUGAUUCUGGAUGCCACGAACGCUACCUGCCGCGGAACUCCUGGUCCCCUAGCUGAUCUACCGGAUCCUGGCUUGCUGCCGCUAGCUCCGCUGCCACUAGCUCCGCUGCCACUAGCUCCGCUGCCACUGUUGUUGUAGCCACCCUUAUAUCCAGAAUUUGACGACUGCUUCAGCGCUUUAAGCUGCCUGCAGUCCCUUACCACGUGCCCAGGCUUAUUACAGUAGUAGCAGAUGAGUUGCUUCCGACUGUGUCCCGAGCUGUUGUUAGCCGGCCCCCGGCUACCAUAACCAGAAGUAGAAGCGCCGAACGUAGAUCCGCCGACAGACGCGAAGGCUGCCGACUCGGUAGGCUUGCCCGACCCACCGUUAGCCGUCUCGAUAGAGAGAAGCUUUGCUGUGACGCUCGCCAUGUCCAAAUCGCCGUCACGCAUUAGUAAUGUAGUCGUCACCACGCUGUACCGACUGGGUAGACCAACCAGGACGGUGUACGUGUCGUUAAUUACGUGGCCGACUCCCAAUAAAUCUGUUUGCAGCUGCCUUGCACGCGCAAAGUACAUCGGAAGAGGUUCGCCGUCGACCAUCUUAAAACGGCUGAAUUCUUGACGUAGAGAAACCUUGCGGGCGUUGUUGUUGGCAGCAAACCUGGAACUAAGUUGAUGCGCCGUUGAUCCGCUAGAUUUGGUUGGAUGCUGGUGGUGAGUUGCCGAACCCAACGAAUACAUUCUGAAGUCGGAUGGGGUGACGGAUUAGGGUGCCCCUCUAGCAGGGGAGAGCAGGGACUGCCCCGGGAAAGGGGGCCGCUGGCGAAGUUAACCACCCUGUAACAACAUAGAGCCCAAGGCGUCCCAGGCCUUCUUCGCGUUGGCAGCACCGGUAACCAUUGGCAAGUGGUGAUCCUUGACGUUCUUGAUAAGCAGAUUGAUGACCUUUCGUGAUUGUCGAAUCUGCUCCUCGUUGCACGGCUCGGCGAGCAAGGAUUGCUCAAGCCCAAGCUCCAUGCACAUCGCGCUAAACCGGAUUUGCCAGGUGGAGUAGUUGUGGAGGUCCAGCGGCUCAUCAAGCUUGUCCUUGACCAUUGUUGAUUAGGGAUAGAAAUAACAAUCAGACGAUAGCUGUCGGCGCUAGGCGGGGCUCAUAACCUAUUGGAGACCAGCAGGGACGUCGUUACCAUGUUGAAGCGGCUGGGUAGACCAACCAGCACUGCGUACGCCAGCUCCGAGUCGCUGAUAACGUGCCCCACUCCCAACAAGUGUGACUGUAAUUGCCGUGCACGUGCAAAGUACUUGGGUAGCGGCUCGCCGUCGACCAUCUUGAAACGGCUGUACUCUUGACGGAGAGCUACCUUGCGUGCGUUAUUGUUGGCGACAAACAUCGCGGCCAAAGCUUCCCAUGCUUCCCAUUCGCGUUCACAGCACCCGUAACCAUCGGCAAAUCUUUAACAUUCUUGAUGAGCAGGUUGAUAACCUCACGAGAUUGUCGAAUCUGUUCCUCGUUUCCCGGCUCGGCGAGCAAGGACUGCUCAAGCCCAAGCUCCAUACACAGCGUGCUGAACCGAAUUUGCCAGGUGGCGUAGUUGUUCAAGUCUAGAGGCUCGUCAAGCUUGUCCUUCCCCAUUGUGGAAUACGAGUAUGAAGGUAGAUGCUGCUAGCGUUAGCCGGGGCUCAUAACCUGUUAAAAAUAUGAAGGAGGCAAGGAGAAUGGUCGCGAUAUAAGUAUUACAGUCGGUAGGUGAGUGGUGAACGGCAGAAAGACUUUAGGAGAUUCCUACUAAGGAAUACCGAUCCAUACAAAGAUGAGAUACCAAGACUUGCAUAACUUGUGUCUUAUAUACCAGUACCAAUGGAAGUAUCGUUCAGUCGCCCACCAUCUAUCUAUCGUACAGUCGCCACCAUCUAUCGGAUUCAUCGCCUAUCUACCACCUAUCUACGUUGGGAUAGGACCAGGAUUCCAAAGGCUGAUUUCAUUCAUGGCAUACGGUGAGCAUCCGAUGGUUUCUGGACUCAGCAUUAAUGCAUCACAUCACCCCUGACCCCUCUGAGUUAUUUAACGUGUCUUUGUGUUGCAAAUGACCGACACUCAUAUACCAGUGAAUGGUAGCCGNNNNNNNNNNNNNNNNNNNNNNNNNNNNNNNNNNNNNNNNNNNNNNNNNNNCCAUUCACUGGUAUAUGAGUGUCGGUCAUUUGCAACACAAAGAGGCACACAACACACUGGGGGUUGGAGCAGUGGGAGCACUUCAAUAUCAUGGGCAUCAAGGGUCAAGCUUUGCAUCCAAUUGCAACGGUGGUCGGCUCACUCAUUAUUCCAGCCAACAUCAACGACAAACAGGCCAUUUCUUUCAAUAAGGUCUACUUUGGUGAGGAGGCAACAGUCAAGGUCUUGUCAGUUCCACGCACCAUCAAUGUAUUGGAGAAUUGGCGACGGUGACGGCUGACGCUUGUUGUUAUUCCGGAAGGAUUGCCGGCGGCGAAGAUAUUGAACACGAUAAACUGUUACAAGUAAUAUAAGGAGUAAUAGUAUGCGUUUGGCAGGACUUUAGGAGAUUCCGUUUGAGGAAUACCGAUCGUUGUGAGAUAAAGAAAUAAGCGCAGUCACCGCCCUAAAUACCGGUGCUAGCGGAAAACUCGUACAUUCCGCGAUCUCACUGCACGUACAUUCCGCAAUCUCACUGCGCCGUCCUGACGGUGCCCAAAUGUCUAUCACUUAGCUACCGAAUAUGCAUCGGUAGCCCCAUAAAGUUCUGGGGUAAGUCUUCCCCAAUAGUCAGGCACAGACCCGGGGCCAAAUCCCCUGGUCGACAACCACACGAGUUGGGAGAGGACCGUUUCCUCAACACGCCCCCUCGGGCCGUAUCCCAACGAGUACCAAGUUCAUCAGCACGCUUCACACAAGGCCCAUCGCACCUCGGCAACGUUUGAAUUUCACCUCGCCCAGAGCUUUCGUGAGCACAUCCGCAACCAUCCACUCCGUAGGGCAGUAUUCCAACUGCACCUCACCGCUAUUCACCCUCUCACGCACUAUGUGAAGCUGUACGUCGAUGUGCUUCGACCGAGCAGACGUAAUCGGGUUAUUUCCUAAGCUAAGCGCCCCCUGGGAAUCUAUUUGAAUCUUGAUAGCGCUCUCAGGCAAACCCAAAACGACCAUCAGCCUGUGAAGCCACAAAGCUUCACGAACAGCUGCCGCUGUAGCUUGAUACUCGGCCUCCACCGACGAAGCCGCCACAGUACGUUGAAGUUGACUGCACCAGCUAAUCGCAGCCCCAUUUAGAGUAAAAACGUAUCAGGAAGUAGAAUGCCGUGUAAACGGGUCUCCUGCCCAGUCAGAAUCGCUAUACCCAGACAUCUCAAUGUCGCCAACACCCCCAAAACGCAAUCCUAGUUCGCGAGUACCCGCCAGGUAACGCAGAAUGCCGGUUGCCAAGUUCAUGGCAGUCUUUGUAAGUGUGGCCAUAUGCCGGGACAAAAGACUCCAUGCAUAAGGAAUGUCAGGGCGAGUGUUAGUCGCUAGGUAGUCCAACUUUCCCACCAAAGCCCUAUGCACCAUGGGAUCCAGCAGCUCAUCUCUAUCCCCCGUGCACCUAAAACCCGGAGCCAAAGGGGUAGACCGUGGCUUGGCGUCCACCGUCUGGUGACGCUCCAAUAGCUGCUCAAUAUUGCGACAACACUAAUUCACCCGGCUUCAUCAUCAGUAUUUCCAUGCCCGAAAACACCUGCGCUUCUCCAAGUUCUCGUACUUCUCUUACAUCUUUGCACCUAGCCAUGCAAAAAAGCGCUUGACCUUCCACUCUUUUCAACUUGUACAACCACCGGUACAUUAGGACAUCAUGAGGCUGUGCACACAGCUCACAAGUGCCGUUAGCUGCCAAUGCAGCAAUCUCCUCGACCAUCACUCUGCGCCACUCAUUUGCAUUUGCACCUGAAAUGGCUUCAGUGAAAGUAUUACUCAGCAAAAAUUCAGCAGGGUACGGAUAAGUGACAGCCACGUUAAUGCGACCUACUAUCCUCCUUCCUGCAACACCAUGCCACCACUCCGAGGGCUAUAAUAUCUCCUCAUAUUCCCUGCCCUAUUCUUCUGAACUCCUGCGCUGGCUUGCACCACUAGAUGUUCCGGCUUCAUCCGGCAUUCCUUCACCAUCCACAGGUGACAGUGGUGCCUAGCCGACUGUGAGGCCCUGACUCAGGUACACCAAUACUAGCCGCUACAAAACUUUCACGGCACUCACGCCCGCCAGUCGUCUGCAUGUGGGCCUGAGAUGCCUUCGGCAUAAAUGUUAGGCUCUGAAUCCCAGCAGAUACUGCAGCAAUGACUCGGCCUGUAGCACUACGACCAGGUACACUCCGUCACCACUCGCCAGGCCGUUUGCAUUCCCUAACUGAAUACCGAGCCCCCAGCAUUUCCACAUCAGUGUGUGUGUUUCCUUCGACAUUCACACGUCUGGGAGGUCCAGCCCCAGCCAGCGCCCCUUCGUCACCCAAAUGCGGCGAUCCCUUGCUGACGGUAUUGCCUGAUGUUGCGAAUGAACAUUCGCUGUUGAGGAAACGGUCCUCUCCCAACUCGUGUGGUUGUCGACCAGGGGAUUUGACCCCGGGUCUGCACCUGACUAAUGUGGAAGACUUACCCCAGAACUUUAUGGGGCUACCGAUGCAUAUCCGGUAGCUAAGUGAUAGACAUUAGGGCACCGUCUGGACGGCGCAGUGAGAUCGCGGAAUGUACGUGCAGUUAGAUCGCGGAAUGUACGAGUUUUCCCCUAGCGCCGGUAUUUAGGGCGGUGACUGCGCCUAUUAGUUUAUCUCACAACGAUCGGUAUUCCUACCAGGAAUCUCCUCAAGUCCUGCCGAACGCUAACAAUACUCUUUACAUUACUUGUAACAGUUUAUCGUGUUUCAUAUCUUCGCCGCCGGCAAUUCUUCCGAGAUAACAAUCAGCGUUAGCCGUCACCGUCGCCAAUUCUUCAAUAGGUUAUGAGCCCCGCCUAGCGCCGACAGCUAUCGCCCAAUUGUUAUUUCUAUCCCUCAUCGACAAUGGUUAAGGACAAGCUUGAUGAGUCGCUGGACCUCAACAACUACUCUACCUGGCAAAUUCGGUUUAGCGCGAUGUGCAUGGAGCUUGGGCUUGAGCAAUCCCUGCUCGCCGAGCCGUGCAACGAGGAGCAAAUUCGACAGUCACGGAAGGUCAUCAAUCUGCUCAUCAAGAACGUCAAGGAUCAUCAUUUGCCGAUGGUUACCGGUGCUGCCUGUUAAGACCAGCAAAGCGCCGGACCCCCGUUGGGUCCUAUUACUGUGGCUACCAUUCACUGGUAUAUGAAUGUCGGUCAUUUCCAACACCCCCCCGUGAGCGACACUCUCUCGCUACGGGCCUUCCCGUGCCUCAUCCCGGUCUCCCAUUCUCUGGGCAACAGCCAGUGGGUAUCGAUCCGGCGACCUCUCGGCAGCGCAAUGCGCCAUUCGGGGCUCAUAACCUGUUAAGACCAGCAAAGCGCCGGACCCCCGUUGGGUCCUAUUACUGUGGCUACCAUUCACUGGUAUAUGAAUGUCGGUCAUUUCCAACACUGCCAACGCGAAGAAGGCCUGGGACGCCUUGGGAUCUAUGGGAUCUAUGUCUGCUCCCGUCGCGUCCCGGCGCGUCCGGGUUCAAAUCCGCCUGCCGACCUCUCGGGGUGUUUGAGAGGUGAUGAAAUGGGAGGUGGCCCCCCAUCUUAUGGACGGUGUAGGACGUGAUAAAAUCAACUCGCGAGCUGACCAGGAACUAAGUUGACGCGCCGUUGAUCCGCUAGAUUUGGUUGGAUGCUGGUGGUGAGUUGCCAAACUCAAAGAGUACACUCUGAAGUCGGAUGGGGUGAAUGGCUUAGGGUGCCCCUCUAGCAGGGGAGAGCAGGGAACUGCCUCGGGAAGGAGGCCACUGGUGAAGCUUAACCACCCUGUAACAACAUCAACAUCAACAACGCCCGGCGGGCGGCUGGCAGAGGUUAAGGCCUGGCUUCUGCUCCCGGCGCGUUACGGCACGUCCGGGUUCAAAUCCGCCUGCCGACCUCUCGGGGUGUUUGAGAGGUGUUGAAAUGGGAGGUGGCCCCCCAUCUUAUGGACGGUGUAGGACGUGAUAAAAUCAACUCGCGAGCUGACCAGGAACUAAGAUGACGCGCCGUUGAUCCGCUAGAUUUGGUUGGAUGCUGGUGGUGAGUUGCCAAACUCAAAGAGUACACUCUGAAGUCGGAUGGGGUGAAUGGCUUAGGGUGCCCCUCUAGCAGGGGAGAGCAGGGAACUGCCUCGGGAAGGAGGCCACUGGUGAAGCUUAACCACCCUGUAACAACAUCAACAACGCCCGCAAGGUGUCUCUACGUCAAGAAUUCAGCCGUUUUAAGAUGGUCGACGGCGAACCUCUCCCGAUGUACUUUGCGCGUGCAAGACAGCUGCAAACAGAUUUAUUGGGAGUCGGCCACGUAGUUAACGACUCCGAGCUGGCGUACACCGUGCUAGUUGGUCUACCCAGUCGGUACAGCGUGGUGACGACUACAUUACUUAUGCGCGACGGCGAUUUGGACAUGGCGAGCGUCACAGCAAAGCUUCUCUCUAUCGAGACGGCUAACGGUGGGUCGGGCAAGCCUACCGAGUCGGCAGCCUUCGCGUCUGUCGGUGGUUCGACGUUCGGCGCUUCUACUUCUGGUUAUGGUAGCCGGGGGCCGGCUAACAACAGCUCGGGACAUAGUCGGAAGCAAGUCACCUGCUACUACUGUAAUAAACCUGGGCACGUGGUUAAGGACUGCAGGCAGCUUAAGGCGCUGAAGCAGUCGUCAAAUUCUGGCUAUAAGGGUGGGUACAACAACAGUGGCAACGGAGGUAGUGGCAGCGGAGCUAGCGGCAGCAAGCCAGGAUCCGGUGGAUCAGCUAGGGGGCCAGGAGUUCCGCGGCAGGUAGCGUUCGUAGCAUAUAACAGUGAGCGUCCGACGGAAUGGUUUCUGGACUCAGCCGCCACUCACCACAUAACGUAUGACCGCUCAGAACUUUUCAACGUGCGGUUGUUGGAGCCAUGGGAGCGCUUCAACAUCAUGGGCAUCAAGGGACAAUCUCUUCGACCGACUGAAGUUGGCACGCUUACGAUUCGGUCUAACGUCAACGAUAAACAGGCCAUCCCUUUCAAGAAGGUCUACGUCGACGAGGAGGCCACCGCCAAAAUCAUAUCGGUCCGCAUCAUUGAUGAUCGUGGAGGCAGUGUGGUCUUCGGCGGCGGACAGGCGAAAGUAUACGUACAGAACCAGUUGGUGCUGACUGGAAAGCGGGAUGGGGACUUGUAUCCCGUCUGCUACAGCAGUGGAGGUACGGGAGCUCUGAAGAGGACGCAGCGUGAAGACAACAGGAUACCUUCUGGUGGUGAUGCAGUGUGUGCUGCCGUGGGUAUCGGAGCUGAACGUGCAGCACUUUGGCACCGAAGGUAUGGCCACUUGGGAUACAGCAACCUUGAGACGUUGCUGCGUCAUAAUAUGGUAGCUGGAUUUGAUGUUGACCGACACAGCAUACAAUCAGCCAGCACGUGUGUGUGUGAGACUUGCGUCCUUGCUACAUACACGUGGUCCUUUUCCGUUAUCUGGGCAUAAGGCAGUGCAGCCUCUCGCGCUCAUUCACAUGGAUGUGUGUGGGCCUAUGCCUGAACCUUCGCCUAGUGGUUCGCAUUACGUGACAACCCUGCUUGACGACCAUACUGGUCUUUCAGCUGUUGAUGUUGUUACAGGGUGGUUAAGCUUCACCAGUGGCCUCCUUCCCGAGGCAAUUCCCUGCUCUCCCCUGCUAGAGGGGCACCCUAAGCCAUUCACCCCAUCCGAUUUCAGAGUGUACUCUUUGAGUUUGGCAACUCACCACCAGCAUCCAACCAAAUCUAGCGGAUCAACGGCGCGUCAACUUAGUUCCUGGUCAGCUCGCGAGUUCAUUUUAUCACGUCCUACACCGUCCACAAGAUGGGGGGCCACCUCCCAUUUCAUCACCUCUCAAACACCCCGAGAGGUCGGCAGGCGGAUUUGAACCCGGACGCGCCGGAACGCGACGGGAGCAGAAGCCAGGCCUUAACGUCUGCCAGCCGCCUGCCUGUUGCGUUUACAGCGACCAAGGAGGAGGUCUACCAGAAGGUGGUGGUAAUGAUAGCGGAACUGGAGCGCGCCACUGGCAGGCAGGUUAAGGAGGUGCGUACAGAUCGUGGCGGGGAGUUCGUUAAUACUCGCACGAAGGCCUAUUUCGCUUCCAGGGGUAUUCUACACGGAACUACGGUAGGCUACACCCCUGAGCAGAACGGAGCUGCAGAACGUUUAAAUCGCACUCUUUUGGACAAGACUAGGGCUAUGCUAGUUGAGUCUGGACUGCCUAAAUCAUUAUGGGCGGAGGCGUUAGCGACAGCCAACUAUCUUAGGAAUGUGUUGCCAACUGCUGGGUCAACCGUCACUCCGUACGAAGCUUUCUUUAACGUUCGUCCGAACGUCAGUCACCUGCGAGUCUUUGGAUGCGUUGCCUACGUCCACGUACCCGACGUCAAGCGUGACAAGUUCGACCCGGUGAGCAGGCGUGGAAUACUUGUUGGAUACGGGAACGGAGGACAAUAUCGUGUGCUAUACGUGGACGGCAUUAUUGCCAUAGUUUCUAACGUUCGUUUCGAUGAAUCUAAUGUCGGCCAGCGGCGUAAUGCCGGGGACUCCGAUUAUGAGUCCGAUGCCGACGAGGAGGAGGAUUUUCGCACUAGUUUGCCUGGUGAGGGAUCGCUGCCUAGGGCUGGCGAAGGGAUACCAGGUAGCACCGUCGGCGAGGGAUCGCCGCACUUGGGUGGCGAGGGGGCGCCGGCUGGGGCUGGACCUUCCAGCAGUGCGAAUGGGCAAGGAAUCAAUCAGCCUGAUGUGGAAAUGGCGGGAACUAGGUACCCAGUUAGAGAGCGUAAACGCCCUGGUGAAUGGUGGCGAAAUGAACCUGGUCGCACUGUUACUGGUCGCGUUAACGCUGCUUUCUCUACUGAUAUUCCCGAACCGAAUUCUUUUGCGGAAGCCAUUGCGAGUCCACAUGCAGACGACUGGCGGCGUGCGAUGGACGAGGAGAUCGCCACCCAGAUGGCUAAUAGUACUUGGGAGCUGAAGAAGCCACCGCCUGGUACUCGUUUGUUGCCGUGUCGUUGGGUAUAUAAGGUUAAGUACAGCGAUGACGGCAGCAUGGAGCGCUUUAAGGCGCGUUUAGUUGCCAAGGGUUUUGAGCAACGCGAGGGGAUUGAUUAUGGGGAGUUGUUUGCCCCUACCUCUCGUGGUUCGUCAUUACGAGCUUUAUUAGCAGUUGCCGCAGCGCGGGACAUGACGGUGCAUCAGCUAGAUGUGUCUACUGCGUUUCUGAAUGGUGAGCUGAAGGAGGAGUUGUGGAUGGAGCAACCGCCUGGGUAUGCAUCCAGUGACCGGUCGCUUGCGUGCAAGCUGCAGAAGUCUAUUUACGGUUUGAAGCAGGCACCCCGUUGCUGGAAUGGAAAGCUAUCAGCAGAGUUCGCCAAGCUGGGUCUUUAUCCUUCGAAGUCUGAUCCGGCGAUGUUUGUUAAGACGGACGAGCGUGGGGUUGUUAUUGCUUUGGUACACGUAGAUGACACUAUUGUUGCGUCGGAAGACCCGGAAAUGGUCCGGGCAAUUAAAGCCGCAAUUGCGAAGGUCUUCAAGGUGCGCGACCUUGGAGAAGCGAAGGUGUUUUUGGGCAUGGAAAUUAGGAGGGAGAAGUCGGGUGAGAUAGUGUUGUCGCAGCAUAGGUAUAUUGCGCAGCUGUUGGAGCGUCAUAGGAUGAUUGACGCCAAGCCGAGGUCUACCCCUUUGCCUCCGGGCUUUAGGUACACUCCUAAGGGGGACGGAGAGGAGCUGCUGGGCAAUCCCACAGAGUAUAGGGCUUUGGUGGGAGAAUUGAACUAUCUGGCGACGAACACGCGGCCUGACAUUUCAUAUGCAUUGAGCAUUUUGUCCCGGCAUAUGGCCGCACCUACGAAGACUGCCAUGAACUUGGCAACCGGCGUUCUACGUUACCUGGCGGGUACACGCGAACUAGGAUUGCGUUUUGGGGGUGUUGGCGACGUUGCUAUGUCCGGGUACAGUGAUUCGGACUGGGCAGGAGACCCAGUUACGCGGCGUUCUACGUCCGGUUACGUAUUCACUCUUAAUGGGGCUGCGAUUAGCUGGAGCAGCCAACUUCAACGUACUGUGGCGGCUUCGUCGGUGGAGGCUGAGUACCAAGCUACAGCGGCGGCUGUUCGUGAGGCUUUGUGGCUUCGCAAGCUGAUGGUUGAUUUGGGCUUGCCUGAGAGCGCGGUGAAAAUCCAGAUAGACUCCCAGGGGGCGCUUAGCUUGGGAAACAACCCGAUUACGUCUGCUCGGUCGAAGCACAUCGACGUGCAGCAUCACAUAGUGCGUGAGAGAGUGAAUAGCGGUGAGGUGCAGUUGGAAUACUGCCCUACGGAGUGGAUGGUUGCGGAUGUGCUCACGAAGGCUCUGGGCGAGGUGAAGUUCAAACGUUGCCGAGAUGCUAUGGGCCUUGUGUGAAGUGUGCAGAUGAACUUGGAACUCGUUGGGAUACGGCCCGAGGGGGCGUGUUGAGGAAACGGUCCUCUCCCAACUCGUGUGGUUAUCGACCAGGGGAUUUGACCCCGGGUCUGCACCUGACUAAUGGGGAAGACUUACCCCAGAACUUUAUGGGGCUACCGAUGCAUAUCCGGUAGCUAAGUGAUAGACAUUAGGGCACCGUCUGGACGGCGCAGUGAGAUCGCGGAAUGUACGUGCAGUUAGAUCGCGGAAUGUACGAGUUUUCCGCUAGCGCCGGUAUUUAGGGCGGUGACUGCGCCUAUUAGUUUAUCUCACAACGAUCGGUAUUCCUACCAGGAAUCUCCUCAAGUCCUGCCGAACGCUAACAAUACUCUUUACAUUACUUGUAACAGUUUAUCGUGUUUCAUAUCUUCGCUGCCGGCAAUUCUUCCGAGAUAACAAUCAGUGUUAGCCGUCACCGUCGCCAAUUCUUCAAUAUUCGCCAGCCCUAGGCAGCGACCCCUCACCAGGCAACCUAGUGUGCAAACCUCGUCGGCAUCGGACCCAUCAUCGGAAUCCCUGGCAUUAUGCCGCCGGGCACUUGACUCGUCAAAGCGGACGUUGGAGACCACGGCGAUGAUGCCGUCCUUGUACAUCACAUGAUACUGUCCUCCACUCCCGUAUCCGACAAGGAUCCCUCAGACACUUACUGUUGUAAGAUACAAACACAACCUGGCUCGGGAAUCCCAAUCCCUUGCCAGACCCACCGGGCCCAGGCUUGCUGAAAUAGAAGCAAAUCACCUCUUUGAGAGGAACGCCAGAACUGCUGCUGGCCGCGCCACGAUUCCCAAGACCAGAACCAGAGGCCCCAAACGAAAAACUGCCGACAGAUGCAAACGCUGCCGACUCGGUAGGCUUACCAGACCCACCGCUUGCCACCUCGAUAGCCAAAAGCUUGGAGGUGACGCUCGCCAUGUCCAAAUCGCCGUCAUGCACCAGCAGGGACGUCGUUACCACGUUGAAGUGGCUGGGUAGACCAACAAGCAAAGUGUGUGCCCGCUCAGAAUCGCUGAUAACGUGUCCUACUCCCGACUGUAAUUGCUUGCAGGCGUCCUGUGCCUUCUUCACGCUAGCUAUGUAAGCUACUAGCGUUAACCGGGGCUCAUAACCUGUUAAGAAUAUAAAGGCAAGGAGACUCAUAAGGGUUACAGUCUGUGGGUUAAUGGUGAACGGCAAGAAGACUUUAGGAGAUUCAAGUUAAGGAAUACCGAUCCAUCCUAAGAUGAGAUAGAAAGACAUGCACCACUCCUGUCUUAUGUACCGAUACCAACGGAAGUAUUGUACAGUCUUCCACCAUCCCUGGACCUGAGGACACGUCCGAGAUACGCAGCCGAGAGACCCGAGGCAAGGUCGAGGCACAGCCGAGGCAAGGUCGAGGCACAGCCGAGGCAAGGUCGAGGCACAGCCGAGGCAAGGUCGAGGCACAGCCGAGGCAAGGUCGAGGCACAGCCGAGGCAAGGUCGAGGCACAGCCGAGGCAAGGUCGAGGCACAGCCGAGGCAAGGUCGAGGCACGUCCGAGGCAUCCCCUAUCAAGGCGGAUUCAUCACCUAACUACCACCUAACUACGUCGGGAUAGGACCGCCCUUCAACACAAACGAAUUAGGUUCAGGAAUAUCAGCAGAGAAAGCAGCAUUAACGCGACCAGUGACAGUGCGACCAGGUUCGUUUCACAACCAUUCGCCAGGGCGUUAACGUUCUCUAACUGGAUAACGGGUCCCUGCAAUUUCCACAUCGGGCUGAUUGUUACCUUGCACGUUCGCACUGCUGGAUGGUCCAGCCCCAGCCGGCACCCCCUCGCCACCCAAGUGCGGCGAUCCCUCGCCGACGGUGCUGCCUGGUAUCACUUCACCAGCCCUAGGCAGCGAUCCCUUACCAGGCAAGCUAGUGCGAAAAUCCUCCUCCUCGUCAGCAUCGGACUCAUAAUCGGAGUCCCCGGCAGAACACCGCCGGCCGACGUUAGACGCAUUAAAGCGAACAUUAGAAAAUACGGCAAUAAUGCCGUCGUCGUACAGCACACGGUACUGUCCUCCGUUCCCGUAUCCGACAAGUAUUCCACGCCUGCUCACCGGAUCGAACUUGUCGCGUUUGACGUCAGGUACGUGGACGUAGGCGACGCACCCAAAAUCUCGAAGGUGACUGACGUUAGGACGGACGUUGAAGAAAGCUUCAUACGGUGUGACAGUUGACCCAGCAGUUGGCGACACAUUCCUGAGGUAAUUGGCUGUCGCCAACACUUCCGCCCUUAAUGACUUAGGUAGACCGGACUCGACAAGCAUAGCCCUGGUUUUGUCUAGGAGAGUGCAAUUCAAACAUUCCGCUGCUCCGUUCUGCUCAGGGGUGUAGCCUACCGUAGUUCCAUGUACAAUACCCCUGGACGCGAAAUAGCUCUUCAUGCGAGUAUUAAUGAACUGUUAAGAAUAUGAAGGAGGCAAGGAGACUUGUUGCGAUAUAAGUAUUAAAAUCGGUAGGUGAGUGGUAAACGGCAGGAAGACUUUAGGAGAUUCCUACUGAGGAAUACCGAUCCAUACAAAGAUGAGAUACUAAGACUUGCACAACUCGUGUCUUAUAUACCAUUACCAAUGGAAGUAUCGUACAGUCGUCCACCAUCCCUGGACCUGAGGACACGUCCGAGAUAUGCGGCCGAGAGACCCGAGGCAAGGUCGAGGCACAGCCGAGGCAAGGUCGAGGCACGUUCGAGGCAAGGUCGAGGCACGUCCGAGGCAUCGCCUAUCACGGCUGAUUCAUCGCCUAACUACCACCCAUCUACGUUGGGAUAGGACCGCCCUUCAACAUGAACUCCCCACCAUGAUCCGUACGCACCUCCUUAACCUGCCUGCCAGAAGCGUGCUCCAGUUCCGCUAUCAUUACCACCAUCUUCUGAUAGACCUCCUCCUUGGUCGCUGUAAACGCAACAGCUGAAAGACCGGUAUGGUCGUCAAGCAGAGUUGUCACGUAACACGAACCACUAGGGGAAGGUUCAGGCAUAGGUAGGGCUGGCACGGGUACUACAUUAGAAAAGAGUACUAUACUAGAAUAGGGAGACCCCCGAAUUAGUCGGGAGCGCGAGAUUAUGGCUAGCUACUGAGAUGUGGAGUUGAGGUCACAGUUAUUGGACCAGAUUCGUACGCUGGAUUGGUGGCGAUUGCCGAACCCUCCGUCUCUUCGGUUGUUCGGGUGAAUGGAUGAGGAGGGGUCCCUGAAGGCUGGAUCCGCCGCCUUGGACUUACAGUUCGUAUGGCGAAGUACAGUGUGGUAGUGGUGGAUGGUGCUAUAAGGUGAUAAAUCGUAGAACUGAUAAUGUCAUAAAGUGGCCCAGAAGCCUCUCACUCUGUAACAUUACACAUUACACUAGAAUAGUACUAUGCAUAGUACUACAUAGUAUGCAGGGCUCUAAACUGGCACUAGUUUACGAUGCUCGUACCGCGUUCGUACAUAGUAUAAUAAUAUAGUAAAAAUAGUACUAGAUAGCACUAGAUUUGGGUUUGGAUAGUGUCAAGUAUUAGUUGGACCAAGUCGAGAUCUGCAGUCAAGCUGUAUUUUGAAGGCUAUAGCCGCGUCUUCGAGCUGUGCUACAUAGUUUUGAUGAAUAAUGUCGAGGGAAUCCAGUAUAAAUAAUGACACGGUGAUGGUGCUUGAACAGCGGGCAGCGUCACUCAGCCAGCAACAGCAACAGAGUGGAACCAGCUCCGUGCCAGCAAGGCGGAUCAGCAGGUCCACUCCAAGCACCGGCGCGGCAUUGAUGGCCAGACCCCCCUCCCGGUGAUUCCCGCGACUCUCGCGGGGCAAGUCGUGGAGGACCUUUGGCAUGUACAGGAACAACAUGCCUAUUCACCUGAUCAAGAAGCCCGAGUUGCGGAACCUAUUCGGGCUGCUGGGCGUCACCCUGCCGAACCGGAAGCAGUUGAACUUCACUAGUAUGACGUCCGUGUGUUGUCUUGUGAACACUGGGUCUUCUAUCUGUGAUUAUGUCUUUAUGUGCCAUAACACGCCUUGAGACAUUUGGUCCACCCACCAGGCACUGAACUAACAAAAAGUGAUCUUGAUGACCGCAGCGAUCUGCUUUCUAAUGUCUAAGUAGCUAUUUAGAAAGAACAAAAGAAGAUCUUUCCAACGGUGUAAUUUUCAGGUACAACGGUUGGCUGUACACCCCCCUUCUACUGGGAGCGUGCACCUGCCUAGUAAUAGUAUCAUAGUAUUACAUUACUAUAUAUAGUACUAUUUCUUACCAUACUAUGAUAUUUGGGUUUUAAAUUAUAGUAUUUUUGCCAACCCUAGGCAUAGGUCCACACACAUCCAUGGUCUGGUCUGGAUUGACACUACUGCGAUUCGCGGUUUAAGGUCCUGGGUUCGAUUCCUGGGGAGACCCCGAAUUAGUCGGGAGCGCGAGAUUAUGGCUAGCUGCUGAGAUGUGGAGUUGAGGUCGCAGUUGAUGGACCAGAUUCGCACGCUGGAUUGGUGGCGAUUGCCGAACCCUCCGUCUCUUCGGUUGUUCGGGUGAAUGGAUGAGGAGGGGUCCUCGACGGCUGGACCCGCCGCCUUGGACUUACAGUUCGUAUGGCGAAGUAUAGUGUGGUAGUGGUGGAUGGUGCUAUAAGAUGAUAAAUCGUAGAACUGACAAUGUGAUAAAAGCGGCCCAGAAGCCUCCCACUCUGUAACAUUACAUUACAUCCAUGUGAACUAGUGCUAGUGGCUGGGCUGCCUUGUGCCCUGUCAGCAGAAAAUGACCUCGUGUCUGCUUUGCAAAAAUGCAGGUCUCACAAACACACAUGCUGGCUUUCUGAAAGCUGUGCUGGUCGACGUCAAAUCCCAUUACCAUAUUGUGGCGCAGCAACACCUCGAGGUUGCUGUAGCCCAGAUGUCCGUAACACCGAUGCCAAAGUGUUGCAUGCUCCGUCUUGGAAUCCACGGCGGUGCACGUUGUACCAUGUCCGUUGUCACAGUAGCUCGUAUUCUGCGUCCUCCUGAUGGUGCCUGUACUUCCACCUCGAUAGCAAAUGGGGUAGAGAUCACCGUCCCGUUCACCGGUCAACACUAAAUGAUUUUGCAAGUAUACCUUUACUUGACUGUCACCGAAGACUGCUCAAGCCCAAGCUCCAUGCACAUCGCACUAAACUGGAUUUGCCACGUGGAGUAGUUGUGGAGGUCCAGCGGCUCAUCAAGCUUAUCCUUGACCAUUGUCGAUAGGGGAUAGAAAUAACAACCAGGCAGGCGGCUGGCAGAGGUUAAGGCCUGACUUCUGCUCCCGGUCGACCCGGGUUCAAAUCCGCCUGCCGACCUCUCGGGUGUUUGAGAGGUGGUGAUAUGGGAGGUGGCCCCCCAUCUUGUGGACGGUGUAGGACGUGAUAAAAUCAACUCGCGAGCUGACCAGGAACUAAGUUGAGGCGCCGUCGAUCCGCUAGAUUUGGUUGGAUGCUGGUGGUGAGUUGCCAAACUCAAAGAGUACACUCUGAAGUCUGAUGGGGUGAAUGGCUUAGGGUGCCCCUCUAGCAGGGGAGAGCAGGGAAUUGCCUCGGGAAGGAGGCCACUGGUGAAUCUUAACCACCCUGUAACAACAUCAACAUCAACAUCCACAACCUAACUAAGUUGAUGCACCGUUGAUCCGCUAGAUUUGGUUGGAUGCUGGUGGUGAGUUGCCAAACUCAAAGAGUACACUCUGAAGUGGGAUGGGGUGAAUGGCUUAGGGUGCCCCUCUAGCAGGGGAGAGCAGGGAAUUGCCUCGGGAAGGAGGCCACUGGUGAAGAUUAACCACCCUGUAACAACAUCAACAACAUCAACAACCUGACGAUAGCUGUCGGCGCUACACGGGGCUCAUAACCUAUUGGAGAAUUGGUGAUGGUGACGGCUGACACUGAUUGUUAUUCCGAAAGAAUUGCCGGUGGCGAAGAUAUCAGGCACGAUUAAUUGUUACAAGUAAUGUAAAAAACUGUAAAUUGCGUUAGGCAGGACUUGAGGAGAUUCCUGGUAGGAAUACCGAUCGUUCUGAGAUAAACAAAUAAGCGCAGUCACCGCCCUUGUUACGUUAAGGCUUAUCACAACCAGUCAUGGUGGUGUCGAAAGACACCGGAUGCGAUUACAGCAGAGAAGGUGUAGCCAUCCAGUGUACGACCCGCACUAAUGUACGACGUCGCAAAAGGAAGAUCUUGAGAAUAGCUGAGUGAACCCCGUUGAAGAGAAACAUUGAGAGUUAUGUAACUGCUCUUGCACGUUACAUCAUUCCCCCCCUAAAUGGCUGGUCGUCCCGACAGCCAGCCAACCUUGGCUUCACCGCCACACGAGAGGAAAAAGCAGGGCUUCCGGAACCCCACUGGUGACAGACAAGUGGUUGAGAAAAGCAUUAAAGCGCGAAGGCUUUUUGAUCACACGGCCGUGACGAGUAGUCUGAGGAGCUCGAUGCGGCUUCGAGCCAGAAGCGUCAGCGUCACCCGAAAGUGUCGCCUGACCUUGGGACUUCGAGGUUGGAACUGAGUCAGAUUGACGUGCCCAAUAGUCGCGCAACAAAUCGCCGCAGUUAGUUAGGUUCGUUUCGGGUUCCCACGAAUCAAAUUCCGGGCCCUGACCUUUCCAACGCAUUAAGUAGAAACGCUUUUGUCGACGUCCUUCUUUCACUUCUUUAUGAAGUAGAAUGGACUCAACUUCGAACUCCAAUUCACCCUCAACAAUCUGAGGUGGCGGAGGUAGCUGAACGCGACCACCAUCUUGAUACGGACGAAGGAGUGACACAUGAAAUACAUCAUGUAUCCGCACCGCAGGAGGAAGAUCCAACCGAUACGCAACCGCGUUGAUCUUUUCCUUAACCACAAAGGGUCCGAUAAAGCGAGGCAGCAAUUUGCGCACACCUUUAAUAGUCAUGUGUUUCGUACUCAAGAGUACACGAUCACCAACAGAAAGUCCUCGUUCCGAGCGACCUUUGUCAGCCCAUUUCUUCAUCCGAUCUCGAGCAGCAGCCAAGCAAGACUUAGCUCGUUCCAAAGCAUUCUGCAUAUCCGUACUGAAUUUAACAGAUAACGGAUUAGACAGUUUGGCCACGCUUUGCAAGCGCGUCUUGGCCCUCUCCUCCCCCAAUUUGCGAACCAGGUGAGAAGCCGGAGUUAGGGGUUCAUAUCCGUACAUCAACCGAAAAGGAGUAGUUCGCGUAGAUUCAUGCAACGAAUUGUUCAUGGCGAACUCAGCCAUCGGCAGAUAACGGGACCAUGAGGAUUGAUCGCCAGAAACGAAAUGACGCAACAUAUCCUCCAGAACACGAUUUGCACGUUCUGUUUGGCCAUCCGUUUGAGGAUGAUAACCAGAACUGCGACGCAAGUCGAUUUGAUAUCCAUCAAAAAGCGACUCGAAAAAGGCAGAGGUAAACUUAGGAUCCCUGUCGCAAAUGACGACAGACGGAACACCGUACGAACACACAAUGGUGUUGACGAAGAUUUCAGCCGCUUUGACAGAGUCAACAGAGGCCUUACAGGGCACAAACCGAACCAUCUUGGUGAGUUUGUCCACAAACACAUAGAUCGAAGUAUUGCCAUCAGGAUCGGGAGGCAGAUCAGUAAUAAAAUCCAUGGUCACGAAAGACCACUUCUGAUCAGGAAUCGGCAGCGGAAGAAGCAAACCACCAGGGAGACUGGUAUCUGCCUUUACCCUCUGACAGCUGUCACACGUACGACAGUACGCUGCGACGGAUUGACGCAGCCUAGGCCACCAAAACGAACGACGCACCAAAUCAAGAGUUUUGGUUACGCCCGUAUGGCCUGCCAACGGAUGGUCAUGACAAAGACGCAGAACGGUAGUACGCAAAUCAGCAUGAUCUGGCACAACCAAAGCAUCUCCUCGAUACCAGAAUUGACCACGUUGCGAUAAUGCAACCGUGUUUUCUGAUAUUUUAAACCAAGGAUCGAUACCAUACCCAUCAAGUACCGAUGACUCGAACAUAGGAAAAGAGCACUGAAGCUCUACGGUGGUGUCACGGAAGGCAGAAAUUUCUCCCAACCGUUGAGCACUAAUCGUCAUAACCUUCGUCGUUUCAACAUCGACGUGUCCCGGAAGCCGAGACAACGGAUCUGCAGGAUUGCAACGACCCGCGCGAUACUGCCAUUCGAAAUCGAAAGACUCCAGAAAUUCCGACCACCGCGCCACACGUCGAGACAACAGAGACUUACGGCGCAUGGCGGUGUUAGGUUCGUGAUCUGUAACGACCGUAAACUUUACACCUUCGAGGUAACAACGCCACAAUUUGAGCGCAUGCACAACGGCCAAGAGCUCUUUUUCAGUGACGAUGUAGUUCAACUCAGCAGGAAUCAGUUUACGGCUCUCAAAAGCCACUGGCCUUCCAUGCUGGAGCAAAAUUGCACCCAAUGCGAAGUCGCUAGCAUCCGCGAUCACCUCGAAAGGUUCACGAGGAUCCGGCAAAGCAAGCACUGGCGCCCGAGUGAGCGCUUCCUUAACACGAAGGAAAGCCUCGUCGCAUUUCUCCGACCAAAACCACUUAGUCUUAGGAGAAAGCAAGUCCGUUAGCGGUUUAACCAAAGCCGCAUACGCACGAAUAAAUUUCCUGAAGUAAUUAGCAAGACCCAGGAAGGAUCGAAGCUCCGAAACAUUCUUGGGCACAGGCCACUGUUGGACAACAGCAGUCUUCCGAGGAUCGGGCCGUACACCGUCGGCCGAUACGAUAUGCCCCAAAAACGAAACGGACGGUUUGAAGAACUCGCACUUGGACAGCUUACAGUAGAACUGACGCUGUUCGAGACGUUCAAGCACUGCACGCAGAUGCUCAACGUGUUCAUCGGCGGUCUUCGAGAAGAUCAGAAUAUCGUCCAGAUACACUACCACGAACGGCAAACCCUGCAAGGCUUGAUUCAUGGCAGACUGGAAGACAGCAGGAGCAUUAGUCAGGCCAAAAGGCAUAACUUUAUACUGAUAAUGCCCGAAAGGAGUGCGAAACGCGGUACGCUCCACAUCGCUAGGAUUUAACCGUAACUGGUGAUAACCCUGCGUUAAAUCGAGUGAGCUGAAAACUGUCGCACCUCGCAAACGAUCCAACAAAUCAUCUAUCCGAGGCAACGGAAAACGAUUUUUGAUCGUGAGGCUGUUGACUGCGCGAUAGUCAACACACAUACGUAAAGUGCCAUCCUUCUUCUUAACGAACAUAGAGGGUAGGACAAACUGUCGGGCAGAGCAAUUCUUUUGACUGCCCCGGUCGCACAAUUCCCGUGCUUCCCUAAUUCGACACCCUGAACACGCUAAUUCUGACUGUCCGAAUGUCCCUGCCAGGCCAAUUCGGCACCCUGUCAGCCUAAUUCUGACUGUCGGAAUGUCCCGCCAGGCUAAUUCGUAUCCCUGUCAGGCUAAUUCUGACUGUCGGAAUGUCCCUGCCAGGCCAAUUCUUAUCCCUGUCAGGCCAAUUCAAGGGCCUGUCCCGGCAAUUCAACUUGUCCCAGGUGUCAAUUUAAACCCUUCUACCGAGCAAUCUAGACCAAUUGCAGGGUCUGCCCCCAAACUCUCAGGCACGCAUUCAGAAUCGCGGAAGUUGAAGGAACUUUACGAAACAAGGGGAGCACUUACAAAUAUCUCUCGUAUGUUUGUUGGUUUCAAAUCCGUACAUGCUUGUACGGNNNNNNNNNNNNNNNNNNNNNNNNNNNNNNNNNNNNNNNNNNNNNNNNNNCCUUGUUACCGUACUCCGUACUCAUUCACCCAUACAUUCAUUGUGUGUGUAUGUGUGAAAAGUUACCAUCACCCGAACCGACCAAAACCAAAGGUGUGUCUGCAUGGCAAGUCGCUCACAAUUUUAACACCCGGUCUAUUCAUUCAUUCAUUCCUUCGUUCAGACAAGCAGACAUAUCCACACGCCUCGUCUUGAACUGUGCUUCAGUCCUGCUAAGGGCCCCCGGCACUCGACCAGACUACAUGUGUUCAAAAAGAUACCACCACCCGAACCGAACCAAACCAGGGGCAUGUUAACCACACCUUUCAUUCGUCCAUUCAUUCAUACAUCCAAUCAUUCACGCAGACAAAGAAAUGUAAGCACACGCGCCUGCCCUGCAGUAGUGUGGCCCGGCACAAAGUAGCUGUAGUAGCUGGUACACAGUAAGCCAGGGUACCCAGUCGACCCGGGUUCAAAUCCGCCUGCCGGCUCCUCGGGUGUUUGAGGAGUGAUGAAAUGGGAGGUGGCCCCCCAUCUUAUGGACGGUGUAGGACGUGAUAAUAUCAACUUGCGAGCUGACCAGGAACUAAGUUGAUGCGCCGUUGAUCCGCUAGAUUUGGUUGGAUGCUGGUGGUGAGUUGCCGAACCCAACGAAUACAUUCUGAAGUCGGAUGGGGUGACGGAUUAGGGUGCCCCUCUAGCAGGGGAGAGCAGGGACUGCCCCGGGAAAGGGGGCCGCUGGCGAAGUUGACCACCCUGUAACAACAUACAGUAAGCACAGUAAGCUGGUACACACAUAGCACGACCACCAGCAUCUCGAGAGGCCUUUUCAGCCGCCAGCUACUAAAUAAUGCAUGAACGUCACAUAGAGGAAGGUAGCAUAAUACGAGCCGUCAACGAUAGGACCAUCACCGCCAACCGGACUGUGUGAACCUGUCUCCAGUGCGUCACGCAGCACACUGACUGCCUUGACGCUUCCAGUUGAGGGAUCCAUGUCGAGGUCGGCCAACCUGUCUGUCAGUGAAUGGCGGUAAGUCAGCCACAAACCAGUCUGUACCUAAUUCCAGGUUGGAUAGAGCCUACUUGAGAGUGGCGCGCUGGUUCUGUUUGUCCUUGUAGUUGAGAUCCUG
rnacentral:lncRNA from 1 species